GUGAAUCAUCGAAUUUUUGAACGCAAAUUGCACUCUCUUCGGAGAGUAUGCGCGAUUGAGGGUAAGCCUAAAAAAAUCGACAUCGUUGCUGUUUCACAGUGGAGAUCGUCGGAAAUUGGGUUAGCUUAAAUAGUGGGUUUAAGCGACAUAAAAUUAGCUUAAGGAUUCCAUGAACGUGUAUAAGAUUAAUUUCUUUACACGUUAAAGGUAUCGAUUUUGAUUAGGCGUGGCCGUCAGAUUGG
rnacentral:misc_RNA from 1 species